AAUAUAUAUAUAAAUUAUGCAAGAGUUUGAGAGGCAGAAUGAGAAGAUGGAGUUAUUAUCUGAAGUGAAGGUUGAUGCAAUCGAUGAUGCUUUGGAAGGAGAUGAGGAAGAGGAGGAAACAGAUGAAUUACUAAACCAGGGUUGGUCAGGUAGUGGCGUCUUUACUGAGGAGGAUGCGAUUACAUUACUAAAGAAAUGAAUCACUUGGAAAAAUCAGAAUUAGUGGAAUAAUAUUAAACAGAUGGUUUCAACAUAAGCUUGCUCCUGUUUUGUAUGCUUGCCGUUUCUAUCAAUUAACAUUCAAUAAUAACUCCCAAUGAGUUCUAUUUCGACUUUGUUAUUCAGGUUUCUAUGCUCUAUGCUCUAACACAGUCAGAAAACCAUGUUGAGUAAUAGGUACUAAUGCAU